UGACUAAUGUAGUAAUCCGGUAAGCAGAGAAAUAACUAUAAUCUUCUCCAUUCAACCAAUUUUGAUGUCACUGCUUAUAACGGAAUAUUUUAAAGAAACAUUCAUUAUCACUAUGGACUCCGUGUGGGCAGUCAUCUAAAAGUUUUUGUUCGUCAUGA